CCCUCUUUAUCCCUUGUUGUACCAAAAUAAUAAAUUUAUUAUUAUCAAAAUAUCAUAUUAAUCAUUAAAAGAAAAAAUAAUUUGUAUCAAGGAAAACUAAUAUAUCUUUGUGUAUUUUUAGAAUUUAAAAUUCAAACUCAUUUUGAUUUGGGACGGAUUUGAAUUUGUCCUUAUGAAUUUAGAAUUUGCCCCUCAAAUACUUGCUAUUCGAAUCUGAUUAUAUAUAUAU
rnacentral:lncRNA from 1 species